rnacentral:rRNA from 1 species
AACGAACGCUGGCGGCGUGCCUAACACAUGCAAGUCGAACGCGAAAGGGGGCAACCCCCGGUAGCGUGGCAGACGGGUGAGUAACACGUGGGUAACCUACCCGGAGGUGGGGGAUAACCCUUCGAAAGGAGGGCUAAUACCGCAUGACAUCGCGGGGACUUCGGUCCUUGCGAUCAAAGCUGGCCUCUGUUUACAAGCUAGCGCCACCGGAUGGGCCCGCGCCCCAUUAGCUAGUUGGUGAGGUAACGGCUCACCAAGGCGACGAUGGGUAGCCGGCCUGAGAGGGCGAUCGGCCACACUGGAACUGCGACACGGUCCAGACUCCUACGGGAGGCAACAGUGAGGAAUAUUGCGCAAUGGGCGAAAGCCUGACGCAGCGACGCCGCGUGGAGGAUGAAGGUCUUCGGAUUGUAAACUCCUGUCGAGUGGGACGAAUGCCGUGAGGGUGAAUACCCCUCGCGGUUGACGGUACCGCUGGAGGAAGCCCCGGCUAACUCCGUGCCAGCCGCCGCCGUAACAC